rnacentral:rRNA from 1 species
AUUGAACGCUGGCGGCAUGCCUUACACAUGCAAGUCGAACGGCAGCACGGGAGCAAUCCUGGUGGCGAGUGGCGAACGGGUGAGUAAUAUAUCGGAACGUGCCCAGUCGUGGGGGAUAACGUAGCGAAAGCUACGCUAAUACCGCAUACGAUCUAUGGAUGAAAGCGGGGGAUCGCAAGACCUCGCGCGAUUGGAGCGGCCGAUAUCAGAUUAGGUAGUUGGUGAGGUAAAGGGCUCACCAAGCCGACGAUCUGUAGCUGGUCUGAGAGGACGACCAGCCACACUGGGACUGAGACACGGCCCAGACUCCUACGGGAGGCAGCAGUGGGGAAUUUUGGGACAAUGGGCGCAAGCCUGAUCCAGCAAUGCCGCGUGCAGGAUGAAGGCC